ACGUAUGGUGCAAGCGUUAUCCGGAUUUACUGGGUGUAAAGGGAGCGUAGACGGCUGUGUAAGUCUGAAGUGAAAGCCCGGGGCUCAACCCCGGGACUGCUUUGGAAACUAUGCAGCUAGAGUGUCGGAGAGGUAAGCGGAAUUCCCAGUGUAGCGGUGAAAUGCGUAGAUAUUGGGAGGAACACCAGUGGCGAAGGCGGCUUACUGGACGAUGACUGACGUUGAGGCUCGAAAGCGUGGGGAGCAAACAG
rnacentral:rRNA from 1 species